GAUGAACGCUGGCGGCGUGCCUAAUACAUGCAAGUCGAGCGAACGGACGAGAAGCUUGCUUCUCUGAUGUUAGCGGCGGACGGGUGAGUAACACGUGGAUAACCUACCUAUAAGACUGGGAUAACUUCGGGAAACCGGAGCUAAUACCGGAUAAUCUUUUGCACCGCAUGGUUCAAAAGUGAAAGACGGUCUUGCUGUCACUUAUAGAUGGAUCCGCGCUGCAUUAGCUAGUUGGUAAGGUAACGGCUUACCAAGGCAACGAUGCAUAGCCGACCUGAGAGGGUGAUCGGCCACACUGGAACUGAGACACGGUCCAGACUCCUACGGGAGGCAGCAGUAGGGAAUCUGCCGCAAUGGGCGAAAGCCUGACGGAGCAACGCCGCGUGAGUGAUGAAGGUCUUCGGAUCGUAAAACUCUGUUAUUAGGGAAGAACAGAUGUGUAAGUAACUGUGCACAUCUUGACGGUACUUAAUCAGAAAGCCACGGCUAACUACGUG
rnacentral:rRNA from 1 species